UACGAAGGGGGCUAGCGUUGUUCGGAAUUACUGGGCGUAAAGGGCGCGUCGGCUGUGCUGUAAGUCAGGCGUGAAAGCCCCGGGCUCAACCUGGGAAUUGCGCUUGAUACUGCGGCGCUGGAAGGUGGGAGAGGAUGGCGGAAUUCCCAGUGUAGAGGUGAAAUUCGUAGAUAUUGGGAAGAACACCGGUGGCGAAGGCGGCCAUCUGGCCCAUUUUUGACGCUGAGGCGCGAAAGCGUGGGGAGCAAACAGG
rnacentral:rRNA from 1 species